GACGGAGGAUGCAAGCGUUAUCCGGAAUGAUUGGGCGUAAAGCGUCUGCAGGUGGCAGUUCAAGUCUGCUGUCAAAGACCGGGGCUUAACUUCGGAAAGGCAGUGGAAACUGAACAGCUAGAGUAUGGUAGGGGCAGAGGGAAUUCCUGGUGUAGCGGUGAAAUGCGUAGAGAUCAGGAAGAACAUCGGUGGCGAAGGCGCUCUGCUGGACCAUAACUGACACUCAGGGACGAAAGCUAGGGGAGCGAAUGG
rnacentral:rRNA from 1 species